rnacentral:misc_RNA from 1 species
AGUUUCUCUUAUAUAAACAAACCACCCUCUAUUCACUCUCUCUCACAAAACCCUUUUGGCUGUUUUGUCAGUUCUCAGCAAAUCACUCUCAAGAAACCAACACAACUUUCCAAUCCAUGGCUCUUUUCAAAUUUCCUUUGCUUCUCUUUCUCUCCUCUUUCUUUCUCCACGCAGCACUAGGUGAGAUUGUUUGCGAGAAUUUGCCGAAGGAUGUAUGCGCAUUUUCUAUAGCAUCAUCUGGGAAGAGGUGCUUGCUGGAGACUUAUGCGAGGAGAGAUGGGAAGGUGGAGUACCAGUGCAGGACAUCAGAGGUUAUUGUUGAGCGAAUGGCAGAUUAUAUAGAGACAGAUGAGUGUGUAAGAGAUUGUGGGGUAGACAGAAACUCUGUUGGUAUUUCUUCUGAUGCACUUCUUGAGCCUCAUUUUACUGCCAAGCUUUGCUCUCCUUCUUGUUACCAGAAAUGCCCCAACAUCGUCGACCUUUACUUCAAUUUGGCUGCUGGCGAAGGUGCAUUUUUGCCAGACCUGUGUGAUGCUGCGAGGACCAAUCCCCGCCGUUCCAUGAUUCAGCUGAUGAGCUCAGGUGCAACCCCUAGUCCUAUUGCCAGCGACUCAUCAACUUCUUUCAUUGGCGCUCCUGCUUCUGCUCCUAUGUAAUUUCAUCAUAAUAUCAUAUAAUUUUUUAUUCCAAAUUUAUUAGUGUAAAGCCAAUCAGUAAUAAAUUUGAGUUGAGAAUUGGGAUUGAGAGGCAAUUUUGGAUUUUCCAUUUGCUGCUGUUGGGUUUGUUGAGGACUAUAUCAUUCUUAUUUUAUAUUAAUAUUAAUACCAA